UACAGAGGUCUCAAGCGUUGUCCGGAUUUAUUGGGCGUAAAGAGCGUGUAGGCGGCCGCACAGGUCCGUUGUGAAAACUGGAGGCUUAACCUUCAGACGUCGAUGGAAACCGUGCGGCUAGAGUCCGGAAGAGGAGAAUGGAAUUCCUGGUGUAGCGGUGAAAUGCGCAGAUAUCAGGAAGAACACCCGUGGCUAAGGCGGUUCUCUAGUACGGUACUGACGCUGAGACGCGAAAGCGUGGGGAGCGAACAGG
rnacentral:rRNA from 1 species